rnacentral:lncRNA from 1 species
UGAAAACCUGCCACGUGGCAAAACCUAUCUUAUGAAAUUAGGGGUUAAGAACUGGUCCCCUGAUUUAUCCCAAGCAAAGUGAAAGGUUUAUGGUAACCUGCUAUUGCCCGUACAUUAUUGCCCUUUUACUGGCUGGUCCCGUUUCGUGGUCAAUAACUAUAAUAAAUAGAAGGAUAAAUAGUUAUGUGUUACCGGGGGGUUUAACAAUUAUUAUUAAAGCUCUCUCAUUUUCUUUUUAAUCUUUUGGUGGUUUUUGUUUUUUUUUUUAAAGGAGAGGGGUUUUGGUUUGUUUGGCCCUGUUGUCCAUUUUAACGGAAGAUCAACCGAGAUUGAUUGAUUGGUUGAUGCAGAGAAAAAGAGAGGAGAUGAGAGAAGAGAGAGAAAAUAAAAACAGAGAAAUAUAAUUACUUAGAGAUUUGAAUUUAGUUUUCUUCUUGUGAAUCUN